GUAGGUGAACCUGCGGAAGGAUCAUUAUCGAGCGAAUCCAAAACGAACGAAAAAGUCUCCCAACGUGCAUACCUUCCAUUUGCAUGUUGUUGUGAGCCACAUGGAAACUCGUACACACGUGGUGGCAGCCGUCUGCUGUGCUUUUUUUAGGCAGACAAUGGCUUACGAGUGGCCGUGUGCUUGUUGAACAACGGUGACCAAUUUGGCGUCUACGCCGUAUCUAGCUUCUGCCUGGACCGUCAGUUGCGAUGAAAGAUGCGGAGAAAGUUCCUUUGUUUUGGCUGCUAAUCAUCAUUGAUGAGCAGUAGCUUAAGGCAGAGUUGAGCAGACUUAAUGAGCCACGCUAGGUGGCCGCCAAAACCCAAAACACAACCGGUCUAUUUGACAUUGUUAUUUCAUUGUAUGUGUUGAAAAUGUACAAAUCUUGGCGGUGGAUCACUCGGUUCGUGGAUCGAUGAAGAACGCAGCCAGCUGCGAUAAAUAGUGCGAAUUGCAGACACAUUGAGCACUAAGAAUUCGAACGCACAUUGCGCUAUCGGGUUCAUUCCCGAUGGCACGUCUGGCUGAGGGUCGAAUUACGGUGAACUGUCUUCACGGUUUUUCUGGACUGUGAAGCAUUCGGCAAGCAAUUGCUGUUGUGUUGUUGGUGAUUCUAUCAUGGACAAUAUGACGAGCGGUUCCUUGCUUAGUGAUGACAAAAGAAGACGUCAACACCGAAUCUACUAUACUACUAAUACUAGUAUAUAGGUGAGGUGCUUUUGGUGGUCACAAAAGUGACAAGUAUGCCAUUUCAUAGGGGCAACAACCAGCAUACGUGAUAAGUUGGCUGGUUGAUGAAACGGCAACGGAAUGACGGACGUCUAUGUGAUCAAAAAUGAUACUAUUUGACCUCAGCUCAGUCGUGAUUACCCGCUG
rnacentral:rRNA from 1 species